rnacentral:lncRNA from 1 species
CUGAGAACCCCCCUAAAAAACCUGAUCUUCGCAUUCUCCCCAGCAUUUGGCCCUUCCUACUUUGGGUCAGGUCUGGCUCCUCGUUCCCGGUGAGCUCUCCCUGGGGGCAAAGUCUGGCCUCGAGUAACCUACAGUGCUUAAAAACAGUGGGGACUCCAAAACGGCUCACAGAAAAAGGCAAUAGGGGUCCUGAACCACUUAUCUUAACCAGGGCUCCUCCUUCCAGGAAUGACUUCCAGGAAAGCCCGCCUCUGGGUGCCUCGCCAGCCCCGACUGUAAAAUGGGAAGACUCUCGAGUCACCGGGUCCCUAGGCCCUUUCCGCUGUGACAACUGGGAUUCCGCGAAAGCUCAAAGCAGACGGGUGCGGCCCCGCCCCCUGGGCACCCAGAAAAGCCCGGGCCGGGGGGCUCUCGCGGAGGACGCCCGCAACCCCGCCCCUCCCCCACGCCGUACACCCCGCUUCCCGGCCCCGGAGCCCGCACUUCCGCGGCGAGCAGGGCGGUCCCGCGCUCCCGCCACCGCAGCGGCCCGCCCCGGGGGAAAUCGGGGGUUUGAGCGGCGCCCGCGGGCCGAGGCUGCGGGAGGAAGCAUUCGCUACUAUACCUGGGGGAGGAGGCGGACGGGGCAGCGGCGGCCGCGACGGCUGGAGGCGGAGGCUCGGGCGGAGGAGGAGGUGCCGGGCACUCCCCCCUCCCAUUGUCCCGGCCCGCGGCCUGCCGCGGCCCGCUCCGCCCGGCCCGCGCCCUCCCCGUGCCCGGUCCCCGCUGCUGGCCCUUACCUUGCAGCGGCCGGCUCUUUCCCGCCGCUAAUGCUACUUAUCCCGGGAAAGCUCGGAGCAGGGCCCGGGAGCGAACCCACAGACAAAAAGUGAAACUUCGGCAGGCCGGGAGCGGCUGCUGGUUGGUGCUCUCCCCCUCCUUCCUCCCCACCCCCCUCCCCGCGGUCUCCCGUGCGGUGCCCUGAGCGCUGGAGGCUGACGUCAGGGGCCUGAAUUCCUGACUUUGCCUGCACGCAUUUGUCCAUGUAAGGCGACAAGUUGGAAGGCUGAGCUUGAGCGAGAAGACCCUGCCAUGGAACACCACCCCCACUCCCACUCCCCACCCUCAUCGCCCCCCCCACCCCAAGAGCCUCGUCCGGGCCCCGCCCAGAACUCCAGCAGAACUCAGAACUACGGGAUGGAAGAGAGCAACUUCGGUUCACUUCACACGUGAGAGCGCCGAAGCUCUCAGGAGCUGGGACCUGACCCAGCUGUACACUGUGCAGAUCUAGAAGCAGAUCCGAUACUCUACUCCCAGCUGGGUUCCUGCCUCCAGGCAGGACCCAAGCUCGGUGCUGUGAGCUCAGACCAAGUUAGACCUGGGCAGAUGACUCGACCACCCACUGAAGUGACUAGCCCCAGUUCCUGGAAGGUUGUGGUUGACAAACCUUGAGUAACAAUGGCAAUCAGGGCCACUUCCUGUCCUUUGUUCAAAGAAAUGAACCUUUGGAGUUUAAAAUUUGCUUCCCAACCCUGCCCUGGCGGAAAACCAGAAAACUUGCUCAGUUCUUGCAGCUUAAAAAAAGAAAAUACACGAACUGGGUGAACUGGUUUGAAUAAAGACAGGCCUGUUCUUGGAAGAUUGGGGUUGGAUUUUUUUUUUUUUUUUUUGGCCUUUGAUACUUGUAAAAGUGAGCAAAGAUGGGAACCGCAUUUACUACGUUAAGAGAUGGACUAGGAGGUACUUGUAGGCCCUCUGGCCCGCAGUAUUGAAAGCUUUUAAUCCCAGCACAAGGGAGGUAGGUCUGUGUGGACCCUGUCACAAACAAAACAACCUCUGAUUUUCUCCUUUUGUGUUUCUAGCCUGUCCCUACACAAAAGAAAUGCCUCACCUCAGCCCACACUAACAACAACCUCAGCACACCCUAAUGGCUUCCCUACCUGUUGCUGCCAUCUCAGGUGGGUUGGGUAGGAUAAAUAUGGUAAAGUGACCCGCAUGACACCCCUGUCUGAGCAGGCUCCUGAACUCUCUCCUACUCUCAAGCCACCUUCCACCCACCCUGGGGUUGGGGGGGGGGUGGGGCUGACCUCCUGCAGCCUAACCCAGUCAUGCACAUACAAAGUACACCAAGAACCAUGGGUAUGCAGGGUGGCUCAAAUGGCCCUUUUCAGGUUAGGUUUUGAUGAGGCUUUUUGACUAAGAAUUAAUCAAGUAAGUGUCAAAGUACAUAUUAUUGUGCUUAGCAUUUAUUGAACAACACCUCUCCUGCGGUCUUCAAACUCGAACACUUCUGGGUUCAAACUACUGAAGCCCUUUGCCCUCUCAACUUCCCCAGCUACGCACUGAAAAGCAGGAAUGCAGCAGAAGCGAAGAUCAAGAGUACCAGGCACCCCACGCAAUAAUGAACUGUUUUCUCUUUACAAUUAACGUGACAUCAGACAGGAAUCAAGAGCUCCUAGAGUUCAGACUUAAAAAGAUCACAAUUGAUUCAUUUCAGCCAGUCUGUGUCCUGGGUGCUACUAUUUAGUGUGGGGAACUCACCCCCGUGCUCAUUUAGACGUAACGGAACUUGACCAGCAUUGCUUGCUUGCUUUUAUUCCCUUCUCAGUAACCCACUUAUAAAGAAUAAUAGGGUUCUAAUGAGGAUUAAUAAAAUUUAAUAAGGUAUAAUUAGAGUCAUUCAUUUCCUCCAUCAUACACCUUAUAAGAGUGCUGUGUUGAUCCAGAAAUGCUGCUAAUUAUGUUGAAACUGUUCUGCGUGUUGGGGAAGAUCACUGUGCCGCUUCUCCUGAAAUACUCAGGAACAAGCUUCCUUCUCCAUUCACCUGGCAACCCUUCGAUCUCCUGUGCAGUGCCAUCCCCCAUGAGGACUCCUCUCUGCCCUGCCACCUCUGGACUACUUUUGGUCUGUUUGAACCUCAAGCCAUAAGACACUGGGCCAAUCUGUUGGCUAUAGUGUCUUUUCCUCCUACUUUACCCAGAGUAUAAUGUAUCCUAGAGUCUCUAACAUCAUUCCUGCCUUGGUCAUUGCAGCAUUCAAAGGUUCAAAAUUGUUCCCCCUUUCUGUUGAUCCUGUCCAACGACAGAGGAAAAUAGAGAAGGUAGAAGGCCUGAAUGUGUAAAUA